AUUCUACUCCCUCCGUUGCACAAUACAUGCCUUCUAUUUGUCAAAAUAUAUAUGUAUCUAGACAUGUUUUAGUAUAUAGGCACAUCCAUUUUUGGACAAAUGGAAGUAAAGUAUUUUGGAACGGAGGGAGUACACA
rnacentral:pre_miRNA from 1 species